GACGAACGCUGGCGGCGUGCCUAACACAUGCAAGUCGAGCGCGCAGCCAUCGGUAGCAAUACCGGUGGUGGGCGAGCGGCGAACGGGUGCGUAACACGUGGGCAACCUGCCCAGACUCUGGGAUAACCCCGGAAAACCGGGGCUAAUACCGGAUACUCUCGGCCGGCCGCAUGAUCGGCCGAGGAAAGCUCCGACGGUCUGGGAUGGGCCCGCGGCCUAUCGGCUUGUUGGUGGGGUAACGGCCUACCAAGGCGACGACGGGUAGCUGGUCUGAGAGGACGGCCAGCCACACUGGGACUGAGGUACGGCCCAGACUCCUACGGGAGGCAGCAGUGGGAAUCUUGCGCAAUGGGCGAAAGCCUGACGCAGCGACGCCGCGUGAGGGAUGAAGGCCUUCGGGUUGUAAACCUCUUUCGGCAGGGACGAAGCGAAAGUGACGGUACCUGCAGAAGAAGCCCCGGCUAACUACGUGCCAGCCGCCGCCGUAA
rnacentral:rRNA from 1 species